GGCGCUUCAGGUGGCUCUGGGCCGAAAGUUCUGACGACAGACCAGCAGCGGGAAGCCGUUAAGUUUAUGUGUGAUGCGACCGGUCUGUCGCAACGUCGUGCCUGCAGGCUUACAGGUU
rfam:Pantoea sp. At-9b plasmid pPAT9B02, complete sequence.